UUUGGAUGGGUCCACAAGAGCACAAAGUGCAUACUUUUUGAAGAAAAACAUCUUUCAGAUGUAUGAGAAAUUGAUUGGAGCCUGUCUGGAAAACGGCAGCCACUGGACCUUGUUUUUUUGUGACAUACCCAAGAGGACCAUAGUCUAUAUGAAUUCAUUUGGCGAGUCGGAGGUCAGAAAAAGUGCGGUGUUGAAAAACUG